GCUGCUAUGCAGAUUCGUUUUUUCUCUCUAUCCAUAUUUUAAGAUCGCGUAAUAAAUUGAGGAGCAGAUGUUGCAGAACUCAUCUAAGAUUAGAAUUGUUUCACAGUGUGACUCUAUUUUUGUGUACAUGUUUCCUUGAGCUUGAAUUGUUGAUUUUUUUUUUUGUCCCUUUGAUGUUCACUGAAUCUGAUUUGUUUGCCUGCUCCACCUGUCGCAUCAUGUGAUUUAUUUUCUAUUGACAACAAAAUCUGUUUUGUUAAAAAAAACCCAGUCCUUCUCAUCAUCAGCUGACUUGUUGAUUUCGUCUCUAUUGAUCUUAUGUAAGUUUCACAACCAGUUGUAUCAUACUAGGGACCCAGAACCUAGCAUUGAAUUUCAUUUAUUAUUCAUCCUCAUUGCUAUUUUAUUUAUUUUAGAUAUCAUUUUCUAUUCACUUAACUAUUAUACAGUGUCUAAUAUAAAUAUUGAAUUAUUUUAUUAUACUUCACCAAAAUCAAUGUGGGACUGCAAAGACCUGAAAAUCCAAUAUAAAAAAGAUUCUGUUUGAGAUGUGAAGCACAUUGAACAAUACCAAGAUAACUGAUGAAUAAACAAGUAAAUAAAUC
rnacentral:misc_RNA from 1 species